GAAAUGCGAUACUUGGUGUGAAUUGCAGAAUCCCGCGAACCAUCGAGUCUUCGAACGCAAGUUGCACCCAAAGCCAUUAGCUUGAGGGCACGUCUGCCUGGGUGUCUCACUUUGCGUCACCCGCGGCCCCUCUUCCCCAUUUCCCUUGUUGAAAAUGGGGGGAAGAAGGAAGGGCUGCAGGCGGAUGUUGGCCCCCGAGCCCACCCGCGGGCAGUCGGUCCAAAAGCGAGUCCCUCGGGACGGACGACGCGUCGCGACGAGUGGUGGUUGACACACCGUUGCGCUGCCUCGCGCGCGUCCUGGCCACCUCGGGAGGCCUGUCGUGACCCUAUCGCGCCGCCGCCAAGGCGCUCCGAUCGCGACCCCAGGUCAGGCGGGAUUACCCGCUGAGUUUAA
rnacentral:misc_RNA from 1 species